GGAAGGCAUAGACAGCUAGGAGGUUGGCUUAGAAGCAGCCACCCUUUAAAGAAAGCGUAAUAGCUCACUAGUCGAGUCGGCCUGCGCGGAAGAUGUAACGGGGCUAAAACUAUAUGCCGAAGCUGCGGAUGCAUAAUUUAUUAUGCGUGGUAGGGGAGCGUUCUGUAAGCCGAUGAAGGUGGAUUGAGAAGUCUGCUGGAGGUAUCAGAAGUGCGAAUGCUGACGUGAGUAACGACAAUGCGAGUGAAAAACUCGCACGCUGAAAGACCAAGGGUUCCAGUCCAACGUUAAUCGGGGCUGGGUGAGUCGACCCCUAAGGCGAGGCCGAGAGGCGUAGUCGAUGGGAAAUUGGUUAAUAUUCCAAUACUUCUGUGUAAUGCGAUGAGAGGACGGAGAAGGUUAAGUCAGCCUGGCGUUGGUUGUCCAGGUGGAAGGUUGUAGGCAUGUAUCUUAGGCAAAUCCGGGGUACUCUAUGCUGAGAACUGAUAGCAAGCUGUACUUGUACAGUGAAGUGGCUGAUACCAUGCUUCCAGGAAAAGUCUCUAAGCUUCAGUUACACAGGAAUCGUACCCGAAACCGACACAGGUGGUCAGGUCGAGUAGACCAAAGCGCUUGAGAGAACUCUGCUGAAGGAACUAGGCAAAAUGGUACCGUAACUUCGGGAGAAGGUACGCUGUUGUCUGUGAUAGGACUUGCUCCUUGAGCGGCCGACAGCCUCAGAAACCAGGCCCCUGCAACUGUUUAUUAAAAACAUAGCACUCUGCAAACACGAAAGUGGACGUAUAGGGUGUGAUGCCUGCCCGGUGCUGGAAGGUUAAUUGAUGGGGUUAGCGUAAGCGAAGCUCUUGAUCGAAGCCCCAGUAAACGGCGGCCGUAACUAUAACGGUCCUAAGGUAGCGAAAUUCCUUGUCGGGUAAGUUCCGACCUGCACGAAUGGCAUAAUGAUGGGGGCGCUGUCUCCAGCAGAGACUCAGUGAAAUCGAAUUCGCCGUGAAGAUGCGGUGUACCCGCGGCUAGACGGAAAGACCCCGUGAACCUUUACUGCAGCUUGACAUUGAACUUUGAUCUUACUUGUGUAGGAUAGGUGGGAGGCUUUGAAGUCGCGACGCUAGUUGCGAUGGAGCCGUCCUUGAAAUACCACCCUGGUAAUAUUGAGGUUCUAACUCUGUCCCGUUAUCCGGGACGAGGACCAUGUCUGGUGGGUAGUUUGACUGGGGCGGUCUCCUCCUAAAGAGUAACGGAGGAGUACGAAGGUGCGCUCAGCGUGGUCGGAAAUCACGCGUAGAGUAUAAAGGCAAAAGCGCGCUUAACUGCGAGACCCACAAGUCGAGCAGGUACGAAAGUAGGUCUUAGUGAUCCGGUGGUUCUGUAUGGAAGGGCCAUCGCUCAACGGAUAAAAGGUACUCUGGGGAUAACAGGCUGAUACCGCCCAAGAGUUCAUAUCGACGGCGGUGUUUGGCACCUCGAUGUCGGCUCAUCUCAUCCUGGGGCUGAAGCAGGUCCCAAGGGUAUGGCUGUUCGCCAUUUAAAGAGGUACGCGAGCUGGGUUUAGAACGUCGUGAGACAGUUCGGUCCCUAUCUACCGUGGGCGUUGGAAAUUUGAGAGGAUCUGCUCCUAGUACGAGAGGACCAGAGUGGACGAACCUCUGGUGUACCGGUUGUCACGCCAGUGGCAUCGCCGGGUAGCUAUGUUCGGAAGGGAUAACCGCUGAAAGCAUCUAAGCGGGAAGCCUACCUCAAGAUAAGAUUUCCCCGAGACUUUAUGUCUCCUAAAGAGCCGUUGAAGACUACGACGUUGAUAGGUUGGAUGUGGAAGCAUAGUGAUAUGUGAAGCUGACCAAUACUAAUUGCUCGUGAGGCUUGACUAUACAACACCCAAACAGUUG
rnacentral:rRNA from 1 species